rnacentral:rRNA from 1 species
AGUAAAAGUCGUAACAAGGUUUCCGUAGGUGAACCUGCGGAAGGAUCAUUAAAGAGUAAGGGUGCUCAGCGCCCGACCUCCAACCCUUUGUUGUUAAAACUACCUUGUUGCUUUGGCGGGACCGCUCGGUCUCGAGCCGCUGGGGAUUCGUCCCAGGCGAGCGCCCGCCAGAGUUAAACCAAACUCUUGUUAUUUAACCGGUCGUCUGAGUUAAAAUUUUGAAUAAAUCAAAACUUUCGACAACGGAUCUCUUGGUUCUCGCAUCGAUGAAGAACGCAGCGAAAUGCGAUAAGUAAUGUGAAUUGCAGAAUUCAGUGAAUCAUCGAAUCUUUGAACGCACAUUGCGCCCCUUGGUAUUCCGAGGGGCAUGCCUGUUCGAGCGUCAUUACACCACUCAAGCUAUGCUUGGUAUUGGGCGUCGUCCUUAGUUGGGCGCGCCUUAAAGACCCCGGCGAGGCCACUCCGGCUUUAGGCGUAGUAGAAUUUAUUCGAACGUCUGUCAAAGGAGAGGAACUCUGCCGACUGAAACCUUUAUUUUUCUAGGUUGACCUCGGAUCAGGUAGGGAUACCCGCUGAACUUAAGCAUAUCAAUAAGCGGAGGA